GUGCCAGUCGCCGCGGUAAUACGGAGGGUGCGAGCGUUAAUCGGAAUUACUGGGCGUAAAGCGCAUGCAGGUGGUCUGUUAAGUCAGAUGUGAAAGCCCGGGGCUUAACCUCGGAAUAGCAUUUGAAACUGGCAGGCUAGAGUACUGUAGAGGGGGGUAGAAUUCCAGGUGUAGCGGUGAAAUGCGUAGAGAUCUGUAGGAAUACCGGUGGCGAAGGCGGCCCCCUGGACAGAUACUGACACUCAGAUGCGAAAGCGUGGGGAGCAAACAGGAUUAGAUACCCCCGUAGUCC
rnacentral:rRNA from 1 species